GAGGGGCAAGGGAUAUCGCGAAGCCCCUCCCCUCCUGAGUUCCAGCCCAGCCCCGAGCGAGGCUGAAAAGAGGGAAAGCUCCAGCUCAAGUGGGGAAACAGGAAGUGGUGUCCAAGGCUCUGGCAGGGUAGAAGAGCCAUCGUCCCAGGUGGGACAGGAAGGGGGAAGGAAGGGGGGCAGGCCAGUCCCCCCAACUCCGGAACUUCGCAGAAAGCGUCGGGGGAAGAGGAUGGGUCUCCCCAAGUUGUUAUGCUGGCGCAAGACGCGCCAAAAGCCACUUGGAGGUUCUGAUUCAAGCUGAACAGAUGUGUCUUUGUAAAUAGCACUGCCAUUAGCACUGUAAAUACUCAGCACCAAUAAAAGACAAAAUGCAGAGCUGUGUAGAGUCGUUACUCUGAAGUAGCCUUCUCCGGCCACCGUGACAGAUGUUGUGUCAAAAUUUCUCCUCAAUCGGUCAAGUGAUUUCAGUGAAAAGUGGACACCCACCCCCAUGCCCUAUUUACAUUUUUAUAUAGAGAGAGAUUUACUUGAUUUGGGAGGGGGCAGCUCCGCAACCUCCCCCUGGUUAUGCCCAUGCAAACUCGGGGUUGGCAGGGAAUAGCUGUGGCUGGGACUGCCAGAAUGAGUGUGCCAAUCACUGAGUUGUAUUUCUUUCUCCAAUUGACAGAAGUGGGUCGAACUGAAGGAGAGCAGUGUGGCAGAGGAUGCUUUUGCCAAAGUAGCAGAUAAGCCCCAAGCAAAAGAGGAAAAGGAGGAGGAAUUAUUCAGACGGACGGUCAUGGGAAAAUAUGGCAGCCUCGAGUUGAUGGACAGAGAGUGGGAAUAUCUCUACUUCUACUUUCGACUAAUGACAGCAAUUGAGACAAACCAGCAGCAGUUCCAGUCUCAGGCAUACACCACUGACAAGAUCUUAGACACUUUCUUUGAGACAGCUGAACAUGAUUUCAUUUCCAAAUGAAGAUGUUUGCAUGGUGUUCCCAAACUAGACUUCACCUGCUCCUGGAGGCUUCAGUUAAAGGGUCAACCUAGCUUGACAUUUUAUUGAUUUCUCACUUGUUUUAUACAUUAUGUUAUGUUUAUUAAAUGAAUUUCCACCUCUCUGUUGAGUACAACUAUAUUUGCUGGGUUUGACCUAAAUAAGUUGCAGAAUCUGUUUAGAAUGCUUGACUUUGCCCCUCAGAGGACUGUAGGAAGCUCCUCAAGCAAGGGAGCUUCCUUAGCAAGGGAGGCAUAUUUUAAGGUUAGACUUACACCAUAUAUUUAAAUCAUAUUUUGUACCACUUUAACAGUUGUGCCUUUCCCCCAUAAAAGGGAGGGUAAUGGGAAGUGAAGUUUACUCCUCACAGAAUAGUUUUCAGCACCCUUAGCAUAUUACAGUUCAUAGGAUUAUUGGAGGGCUAGGGAUGUUCUAAAUGUAUGGUGUGGGUGUGAAAUGAUGAAUUUUCACCAAUGGACAAAAACAUUUUUAUUCAGACAGGUCUUUAGCUUCACAAGCUGGCUCUUAUGUCCAUUGUGCAUGCUGCAAUUUGCCAGCACUUUGUGCUUAUUGAUUUGCUUAACCUGCUUGUUUUUGUUAUUUUGUAUUUUACUUGAUUUCACUGUCAGCUUCCUUGAGCACCACUUCGUGGAAAAUGUGCAACACAAAUUUAACAACAAAGUGACAAACAGACCGACAGACCGACAAAUGUUCAUCUGCCCCUCUGCAGCUACCGUAUUUUUCCGUGUACAAGACUAGGCUUUUCCCUAAAAAAUAAUGUCAAAAAUUAGAGGGCAUCUUAUACACGGAUAAAUCUCCUCCUUCCCAUUUUCUUAAAUCUGAGUCCCCAAAGAAGGGGGUGUCUUAUAGAUGGGGGUGUCUUAUAGAUGGAUAAAUACGGUAACUUUCACUGUGAUCUCUUGGUGUUCCAAAAAGACAUUGCCUCCUAUUAUUAAUUUCACAUGUUGAUUGUUCCUUGUGAAGAUGAAGCUUCUACUGUAUUUAACUUGUCCUUCCCAGUGUGCUGGAGAAAUGUGUGCCGAGUGUGCAAACUCCCUUUCAUUUGGAUACUGUCAUGUGUUCAAAACAGUGUGUUGUGUACUACAGC